rnacentral:rRNA from 1 species
UACGAAGGGGGCUAGCGUUGCUCGGAAUUACUGGGCGUAAAGGGCGCGUAGGCGGCGCAUUUAGUCAGGCGUGAAAGUCCUGGGCUCAACCUGGGAACUGCGCUUGAUACGGGUGUGCUAGAGGAUGGAAGAGGCUCGCGGAAUUCCCAGUGUAGAGGUGAAAUUCGUAGAUAUUGGGAGGAACACCGGUGGCGAAGGCGGCGAGCUGGUCCAUUACUGACGCUGAGGCGCGACAGCGUGGGGAGCAAACAGG